UCAAAGCUCCUUGCUAUGAAAAUUGUGAGGAACGCCUCUCCCGGAUUGCUUGACAAAAUUCACAAAUUCUCCUCGCCCGCACGAGUCUAAACUGCAUGGCACAAAGCUCCUUGUCUGUAAGAGCCUAAACUGCAAGACACAAAGCUCCUUGUCUGCAAGAGCCUAAACUGCAAGACACAAGGCUCCUCACCCGCACGAGUCUAAACUGCAUGGCACAAAGCUCCUGGUCUGCACGAGCAUAAAAGGCAACAUCAACGCUCCUGGUCUGCACGAGCAUAAAAGACAACCCCAACGCUCCUUGCCUGCACGAGCUGAAACUGCAACACGGCACCAAAUGCUCCUUGUCUGCACGAGUUGAAAUUACAAACGACACCAACACUCCUUGCCUGCAUGAGUCAA
rnacentral:lncRNA from 1 species